UACAGAGGGUGCGAGCGUUAAUCGGAAUUACUGGGCGUAAAGCGCGCGUAGGCGGCUUUGCAAGUCGGGUGUGAAAUCCCCAGGCUUAACCUGGGAACUGCAUUCGAGACUGCAUUGCUAGAGUAUGGGAGAGGGAAGUGGAAUUUCCGGUGUAGCGGUGAAAUUCGUAGAUAUCGGGAGGAACACCGGUGGCGAAGGCGGCGAUCUGGGUCGAUACUGACGCUGAGGUGCGAAAGCGUGGGGAGCAAACAGG
rnacentral:rRNA from 1 species